rnacentral:lncRNA from 1 species
AAAUUCAAAUUUUUUAUUAUUUUGUAACGAUACAUUCUCCAAAAAUUUAUAGCAUUCAAAAAUUCAUUCUCCACACACAAAAAUAAAUAAAUAAAUGUCAGUCAAACAAGGACUUAAUUACUGUAUUUAGUAUAUUCACUUUCUUGCCUUCACAACCAUUCCUUUCCAUUGUGGAAAAAAAUGUAUAUUCGCCAUAAAUCAGCAUCAACCUUCGCGUGCUUCUGCGUCUGCAGCAUCAACUAAACUUUCCCAAUAAUCAUAUGCUUAAUUAGAUUGAACUAUUUAGCAUGCAAAAUUAAAGAAGAAAGAAAAUCACAAUCUUUUUUUUGUUUUUUUCAAUUAAAAUGAAAAUCCGACCAUGAAAUUGACUUUUAGUAGGGAAGCACUAUAUACUCAGUAAUUCAUGUCUCUUAACACGGAUUUGGUGUUCAAUCUAGGAACAAACAUUAUUAAGUUUAAUUACAUAUGAUCACGUGUUUAAGCUUUAAACUUAAACAUCCUACAAAGUUAAUUAAUCUAAUUAAGAGGAAUCUGAAACAUUUUGUUCAGCAGCUGGAUCAGAAUUAAGAUCUAAACCUGUGUUCUGAUUUUGUUUUUCUUUCUUAAGUUCUUCAAAGUCUUCUCGUUUAAAAGACGGACUCCAUGCAGCCGGUGUCAACUCACGGUCAAUCUUGCCGUUACGCUUCUCGAAAUACUUGACCGCCACCUGUAUUCGCCGAAGGAUAGCAAAGAACUCCUCUACCUCGUCAUCCUCCGGAGCCACUGUCACGCCGCUGUCAUCUUUCACUGCUUUAUCUCUCUUCCCGUCGUCGUCUUCGUCUUCCACCACCCUUUUCCUCUUGUCCGUUUCCAUUACAAAACAGGAUAAAAUAAAACAAGGUUUGAAACGACUGAACNNNNNNNNNNNNNNNNNNNNNNNNNNNNNNNNNNNNNNNNNNCUUCGUCUUCCACCACCCUUUUCCUCUUGUCCGUUUCCAUUACAAAACAGGAUAAAAUAAAACAAGGUUUGAAACGACUGAACUAUGGAUUUUAAAGAGAGGGACUCUGGUCAGUAAAAGAAGUGGUUUCCUAUGAAAUUACUGAAUGACAUCAUGACGUGACAUGUUUUGAUGACGUUAAUGAUUUGACUUUUGGUGGGGGAUAUAAAAAUAUCUUCUCUUUGACGGGUGAGUUAAUCUGUGGACGAG